CUACCCCAAAUCUCAGAAUGUGACCUUAUUUGGGAAAAGAGUCUUUGCAGAUAUAAUUAAGGUAAGAGUCAAGAUAAAAUCACACUGAAUUAAGGUGAGCCCUACAUGCAAUGAGACUGUCCUUACAAGAUACAGAAAAGAACACAUAGAGACUUCGGGGGAAAGGAGACUAUGUGCAAGAAUGGCAGAGAUUGGAGCCAAGGAGUGCCUGGGCCUACCAGAGGCUGCAAGAGACAGGGAGGACCCUCCCCUAGAGCCUCCAGAGGGAACAGAGCCAUGCCCACACCUUGACUUUGGACUCCUGGCCUCCAGAACUGUGAGAGGACCUAGGACCCCACGAGAGGAGGGAUCUGGAGGCCAAGCCAGGAGCAGGACAACACCAACAGAGGCCUCAGAAGAAGACUCAGAGUGGGACAGGGGCUCCUUAAGUGAUUGGGGCUGGAAGUGCGCAGAGAAGCCCGGCGCGGCAGGGAAUUGUCUCUCCCUGGGGUGCUGCCAAGAUGAAGAAACUGAGGUUUAGAGCAGCCGCUUGCCCAGCGUAGACAGCGAGAAGGACAGGUCCAGUUCUGCUUGAUGAUGAAGCCUGUGUCUUCUCUGCUGUGUGAUCCUAAUCACGUUGGGAGGUUCCUGAGGAAGCAGAGGAUUUUGCCCUUGCAUUUGAGCCACAGCAGCUCUAAGAAACAUGCCAAGUUAGCCGUCUGGUCCCACGAGAAACAUGGGAAACGGGGAUCAGAGCCAUCCUAGCCGAACUCAGCCCAGAUCAGCAGGCCUUAGUGGACCCCAAGAUAGGUAAGUCCAGAGCUGCCCAAUUGAACCCAGUCUAGAUCAGCUGACCCUCAGCCUCCUCUGCUGCAGGUGUGUGAGAAUUAAUGAGUAUUGUUUGUCAAUGAUUUCUUAUUCGGUAUGUUUGUAGCCAUGGUUAAUGGAUACAGAAGGCAAACUUCAUUGUUUACCAUGGGGUCAGUAUCAGAGCACUU
rnacentral:lncRNA from 1 species